AGCUGCAUGACUGGCGGAUUAGUGGGAUCACCCACAGGGAGUGCAGUAUGGAAUUGAUAAGAAUUUGUGCCGACCGCCUGGGCAGCCU
rnacentral:ncRNA from 1 species